AGCACUUGUGUAUGUCUUUGUUUAAUUUGUAACAAAGCCUUACAGACAGGUGCAAAUAGUAAAUCCUCUUUUGCAACCCAGAACUCAUUGCUGAUAUGAGAUUUUGGUACAUGUAAGAAGGAAUAUG
ensembl:snoRNA